rnacentral:misc_RNA from 1 species
AGAUCCGUUGUUGAAAGUUUUGACUAUUAGUAAUAAUCUGGUGUGACAAGUUGAUAAAAAAUUGGUUGUAAGUUUAGACCUCUGGCGGCAGGCUGGGCCCACCGCCCAAGCAAGUUGGUUACAAAGAAAAACACAUGUGGUGCAAUUAAACCAAUCCKUAAUGGUCCUU